GCAUCUGUGGGGUAAGGUGCCCACGGUCUUCCCGUAGAGCUCGUCAAACUAAAAUUUGUGAGACCGAGGACGGGGUUCGAUUCCCCGACGAUGCA